CAUUUCCAUUCCUUAUAUGCAAAUGAACGGGGCGUGGUUAGCUCACAGAUCCAGACCAAAGCAACAGCACCACAACACUGACUCAAUAGCUUUUGUUUCACACUCCAGUACUCUUAAGUGGUUUGCAAACUGCCAAUAAACCAAACCGGUUCAAGAACCAUUCUUGUGCUUUUCUGGUGCUUAACUGGUUCUUCUCUGGUCUUAUCUGGUCUUAUCUGGUCCGCCCAAUGCUGCUCUUCUGAGAGCAACCGCUCUGACAGCUCUCUCUAGUCUCUACUGGGAAACAGCUAAAAGUCCUUCUGGAGGCUUUGCAUUUGAACUCCUAUGACUGGUUGCGGACUUGAAGGGAACGUCUUCCUGACAUCCAGGAAAAAGUUUUAUUGGACAGAGGCAGUAGAUAUCUACUGGAAACAGUGGAGAGGGAGGAGAUGAUAUGCAGCAUACGGCCCAGCCGGAUGGUUGCUGCUCCGUGUGGAACGUGUUCUAUCAGGUGUAACAUCUACCAAUGGUUGUACAUGACAGAGACCUCCUCCACCUCUUUGCUGUCUUACUAGUCAAUCCUUCUGAUCAGGUCCUUUCCUAAAUAGUG